UCAGUACCAGAACGCUCGUUCGUCCCUGCAGUUGGUGGCAGCAUUGUCCUCAGGAGUCGUUCAACAAGCGUUUGCCGAGUGUUCUGCCGCGUGGCCGUGCCGCAAAUUUCGCGCGCGUUUCCUUUUUUGGUGCUGCUCGUUGUUUGUUGCACAUUUGCGGCGGGCUGUCUGUCAGUCUGUCUGCUUGUACGUCUCCCAAAAACUCUCUCAGAACCAACUGCUGUCUGUGUGGCCAGUCUUCGGUCGUGACUCCUCUGACUCUGAAACUUUUAAACUCUGACUCUGCCUCUGCCUCAGUGACAGUAUAGAGGCUUCCAUGCCCGCGAAAAUGACAGUUUUGAGUUGUGGUCCUGGCUUGUGCUUGGCGCCGGCUACAGCUUCAGCUUCCAAUUCGAAUGCGGGGUGCAAUCACAGCAAACGUCAUUAGCACUCGCGACAUCGCCUUCGAUUGACAGAAGGUCUCGCUCCUAGAAGGGGCAAACAGUUCCUAGAAGGGGAACAGCAACAGCAACAGCAGAAGGAGCAGGAGCAGGAGCUCCACGAAACGGUGGCCAAAGAGAACAACUUCACAUUUGCAUAACUUUGCUGCAGCUUCAACAUUCAGAUUCGCCAGAUGUCGGCGGCCGCGGCAGCGGGUGGCAAAGGCACUGCCAUGGAUGUGGAUGUGGUGCAGGCAGCUGGAAAUCAAAGCCCAAUUGGCACAAACACGCGGUAAAUAGAAAUCGCAAUCGAGGCUUGCAAUUGAAAAUAGAAAUUCGCAUUCAAAUGCAAAUAGAAAUAGAAAUAGAAAUUGCCACGAGACCCCAAACAACAAACAGGGCGAAAAAAACA
rnacentral:sRNA from 15 species